AUUGUUCCCUUAUGUAAGUCACUUUGGAUAAAGGCGUCUGCUAAAUGACUAAAU
rfam:Larimichthys crocea isolate SSNF unplaced genomic scaffold scaffold332, whole genome shotgun sequence.